CCUUCUAAUGUGCUUCUUUCAGUCACAUGAUGAUAUUUUUGCCACCCUUAACAUCUGAAGCAGUCAUCUAGAAGUCAGCAAAAGCAGGAAGGCAUAAGCCACUAUUUAAAGCAAGGACUUCCAUCUCAGCCUGAUACAGUGUAAACAAAUGACUGAUAUCUAAAUCCAAUAUCCUUAUUGUAUUUGGACACAAAAGGAGAAAAACAGGAAAGUCUUAAGGAAUUCAUAUAUUCAAUGGUGUUGCUGAUAAGUAUUGAAGAAUACCCUUCAGAUAGGGAAAAGAACUCAUUGCCUGCCCAGUGCCUGUCAGCAUAAGACAUCUGACUGCAAAUCUAAGAGGACAAUGAAGAGUUGGCAGGACCCUUCCGAGGAGUGGGAACAGCCACAUGCACUCCCAGAUCACUGUUUUAUUCACAGAGACUAAGGAAUCAGGGGAAGAGGGUGCUAACAGAACUGCAGAUUUUACUUGGUUAAUAUAAACCCAAAUCCAUCAGCAUUUAAUAGUACCCUCAUUCCUUUUGCUUACAAAGAUACAAAUUAUGACUAAUCCUCUCCGAAAGGUAUUUGUAAUCAUAUUGUUUUGUGUAUGCAAAAAAAAAAUUCUACUUAAUGUGUAUGGGGAAUUAAGUUUACAAAUUUGAAAAACAUGUAGAGAAAAAGUUAUAAUCCAACUAUUCUAUGUUGUCUCCUUUCACAAAGGCACUGGUGCUUAAACUUUUAAGGGAGUCUAGCAAUAAAAUACUUAGUGAC